AGAGUUUGAUCAUGGCUCAGAAUCAACGCUGGCGGCGUGCCUCAGACAUGCAAGUCGAACGAUUAAGACUCUCUUCGGAGAGUGUAUAGAGUGGCGCACGGGUGAGUAACACGUAGGUAAUUUGCCUUCGGGUGGGGAAUAACUUGGGGAAACCCAAGCUAAUACCGCAUAAUGCAGCGGCACCAAAUGGUGACAGUUGUUAAAGCUUUAUGUGCCUGAAGAGAAGCCUGCGGUGGAUUAGGUAGUUGGUAAGGUAAUGGCUUACCAAGCCUGCGAUCCAUAUCCGGUCUUAGAGGACGGUCGGACACACUGACACUGAAUAACGGGUCAGACUCCUACGGGAGGCAGCAGUCGGGAAUUUUGGGCAAUGGGCGAAAGCCUGACCCAGCAACGCCGCGUGAAGGAUGAAGUCCUUCGGGAUGUAAACUUCGGAAGAAUGGGAAGAAUAAAUGACGGUACCAUUUUUAAGCCCCGGCUAACUCCGUGCCAGCAGCCGCGGUAAUACGGAGGGGGCAAGCGUUGUUCGGAUUUACUGGGCGUAAAGGGCGCGUAGGCGGCGCAACAAGUCACUUGUGAAAUCUCCGGGCUUAACUCGGAACUGCCAAGUGAUACUGUAGUGCUAGAGUGCAGAAGGGGCAAUCGGAAUUCUUGGUGUAGCGGUGAAAUGCGUAGAUAUCAAGAGGAACACCAGAGGCGAAGGCGGAUUGCUGGGCUGACACUGACGCUGAGGCGCGAAAGCUAGGGUAGCAAACGGGAUUAGAUACCCCUGUAGUCC
rnacentral:rRNA from 1 species